AUUGAACGCUGGCGGCAUGCUUAGCACAUGCAAGUCGAACGGCAGCGCGGGGAGCUUGCUCCCUGGCGGCGAGUGGCGGACGGGUGAGUAACGCGUGGGAAUCUGCCCAGUAGUGGGGGACAACCCGAGGAAACUCGGGCUAAUACCGCAUACGCCCUACGGGGGAAAGCGGGGGAUCUUCGGACCUCGCGCUAUUGGAUGAGCCCGCGUCGGAUUAGCUUGUUGGUGGGGUAAAGGCCCACCAAGGCGACGAUCCGUAGCUGGUCUGAGAGGACGAUCAGCCACACUGGGACUGAGACACGGCCCAG
rnacentral:rRNA from 1 species